rnacentral:rRNA from 1 species
CCCUUAGAUGUUCUGGGCCGCACGCGCGCUACACUGAUGCAUUCAACGAGCCUAUCCUUGACCAACAGGUCCGGGUAAUCUUUGAAUCUGCAUCGUGACGGGGAUAGAUUAUUGCAAUUAUUAAUCUUCAACGAGGAAUGCCUAGUAGGCGCAAGUCAUCAGCUUGCGUCGAUUACGUCCCUGCCCUUUGUACACACCGCCCGUCGCUCCUACCGAUUGAAUGCUCAGGUGAGCCAUUCGGACCUUCAUCAUGCCGGUUUCCGGUUUUGAUGAGGGAAAGUCUUGCGAACCUUAUCAUUUAGAGGAAGGAGAAGUCGUAACA